rnacentral:rRNA from 1 species
UUACCAACCCUUGACAUGGGUAUCGCGGCCUCAGAGAUGGGGCUUUCAGUUCGGCUGGAUACCACACAGGUGCUGCAUGGCUGUCGUCAGCUCGUGUCGUGAGAUGUUCGGUUAAGUCCGGCAACGAGCGCAACCCACACUUUCAGUUGCCAUCAUUCAGUUGGGCACUCUGGAAGAACUGCCGGUGAUAAGCCGGAGGAAGGUGUGGAUGACGUCAAGUCCUCAUGGCCCUUACGGGUUGGGCUACACACGUGCUACAAUGGUGGUGACAAUGGGUUAAUCCCCAAAAGCCAUCUCAGUUCGGAUUGUCGUCUGCAACUCGGCGGCAUGAAGUCGGAAUCGCUAGUAAUCGCGUAACAGCAUGACGCGGUGAAUACGUUCCCGGGCCUUGUACACACCGCCCGUCACACCAUGGGAAUUGGGUCUACCCGACGACGGUGCGCCAACCUCGCAAGAGGAAGCAGCCGGCCACGGUAGGCUCAGUGACUGGGGUGAAGUCGUAACAAGGUAGCC